ACCUCUGUUCAGCACUGAUUCACAGACUCCAAUGAAAUCAUAGCCCAAGCUGUUAUUACCCAGAUUUGGUUUGUGUCUACAGCCCCAUGUGAGCCCCAUUCUGCUAAGCACGACACAGCAUUUUGUAAAGAUGAUCCCUGCACCACAAAAUCUUGCUGAGAACUCUGCCAUGGGCAUGUGGCACUCUUCUCUGUGACUUCAGCAAAACAAAGACAGACCUGAGCACACCUUGUUCAGCUCAAGAAUCCAGCAACAUAACUCUGGCCAAACACUGCUCUCUGCAGGUUGUUGCUGUCUCCCAGGUCACACAGAGCUCCAAGCCACUGUGGCAGAUAAUCCACCCGCAGUUAACUGAGAGCUGACUAUUCCACUUUGGGCUGCUUAAAUUGAAACGAAAACACCUUGUCCUGGCCAGCUGGGCACAGCAUUCUGCUCCAGAGGCUGCUGCCACUGCAGCCUGGGUGGCUCAAACCCUUGUGAAACCGUGCCUGCCUGGUGUCUUAAAGGCCUCACCAGAUGUGCUGGAAACAGCCUCCAAGAGAGGGAUGACACAAACAGCUGAGGACAGCGGUGUCCAUUCCAGCUGCAUCCAUGGGUGCCUGUGACUCAACACCCUGAAGCUCUUCAGCUCUGCUCAGAAGCCAAGGUCUCCCAGCAGACAGCUCACCAGUGUGUGACUUGGAAGAAAAUCAAGCACCAGCAAAUCAGGCUUUGAGAAUGCCCUCAGGAAGGGCAGCCCAGGGAAGUGCCAGGGACACCCUCCUUGUCCUGCCUUUCUCCAGCCCACGACCCAAAGAUUAGUGAUGCAUGUAGGAAAGUGUUGCAACGAUGUGUGGUAGGGAAUGCCCAUGAUUAUUUCACCAAUUGCCUCUGUGGUCUGGUCUUUUUAUUGAAGCAAAAGGGUCUUGCCAGACUUAAUUGAAGUUAAAUAAGAUGAAAUUUUUCCAGGGGCCUCUCUCCACAAAUUACAAAUCAUAUACAUGACACUCAAUUUUGCAGCCCAUAAUCACAUUAGCAAUGCCACUGAAGUGAACAGAGCUCCUUGGGUGAGUAAGAGUUACUUGCACAAAAACCUAUUUCAGAUUUGGUUACAACCUAAAUUGGAUUCACUCCAAGCUGGAAGUUUCAUAUGCCCUAGCCUUGUUCAUGAUUUUGGGGCAAAGUUCAUCCUUUUAAGAAAUUAUGCCAACUGCACAUCAGAUGAGUGUGGGGUUUUCUAUUUAAAGAGUGAAGUGUUUCUAACAAUUUAAUUCCACU